rnacentral:rRNA from 1 species
AGUGAACGCUGGCGGUAGGCCUAACACAUGCAAGUCGAACGGCAGCACAGUAAGAGCUUGCUCUUACGGGUGGCGGGUGGCGGACGGGUGAGGAAUACAUCGGAAUCUACUUUUUCGUGGGGGAUAACGUAGGGAAACUUACGCUAAUACCGCAUACGACCUACGGGUGAAAGCAGGGGAUCUUCGGACCUUGCGCGAUUGAAUGAGCCGAUGUCGGAUUAGCUAGUUGGCGGGGUAAAGGCCCACCAAGGCGACGAUCCGUAGCUGGUCUGAGAGGAUGAUCAGCCACACUGGAACUGAGACACGGUCCAGACUCCUACGGGAGGCAGCAGUGGGGAAUAUUGGACAAUGGGCGCAAGCCUGAUCCAGCCAUACCGCGUGGGUGAAGAAGGCCUUCGGGUUGUAAAGCCCUUUUGUUGGGAAAGAAAGGCAGCAGGUUAAUACCCCGCUGUUCCGACGGUACCCAAAGAAUAAGCACCGGCUAACUUCGUG